ACUGAACGCUGGCGGCAGGCCUAACACAUGCAAGUCGAGCGGUAGAGAGAAGCUUGCUUCUCUUGAGAGCGGCGGACGGGUGAGUAAUGCCUAGGAAUCUGCCUAGUGGUGGGGGAUAACGUUCGGAAACGGACGCUAAUACCGCAUACGUCCUACGGGAGAAAGCGGGGGAUCUUCGGACCUCGCGCCAUUAGAUGAGCCUAGGUCGGAUUAGCUAGUUGGUGAGGUAAUGGCUCACCAAGGCGACGAUCCGUAACUGGUCUGAGAGGAUGAUCAGCCACACUGGAACUGAGACACGGUCCAGACUCCUACGGGAGGCAGCAGUGGGGAAUAUUGCACAAUGGGGGAAACCCUGAUGCAGCCAUGCCGCGUGUGUGAAGAAGGCCUCGGUUGUAAAGGUCAACUUUCAGCGAGGAGGAAAGGGUUAGUAGUAGGUCCCUAAAGUUAACCGCAUCAGCUGUGACGUUACUCGC
rnacentral:rRNA from 1 species